CCUACGGGAGGCAGCAGUAGGGAAUCUUCCACAAUGGGCGAAAGCCUGAUGGAGCAACGCCGCGUGGGUGAAGAAGGUCUUCGGAUCGUAAACCCUGUUGUUAGAGAAGAAAGUGCGUGAGAGUAACUGUUCACGUUUCGACGGUCUCUAACCAUAAAGCCACGGCUAACUACGUGCCAGCAGCCGCGGUAAUACGUAGGUGGCAAGCGUUAUCCGGAUUUAUUGGGCGUAAAGGGAACGCAGGCGGUCUUUUAAGUCUGAUGUGAAAGCCUUCGGCUUAACCGGAGUAGUGCAUUGGAAACUGGGAGACUUGAGUGCAGAAGAGGAGAGUGGAACUCCAUGUGUAGCGGUGAAAUGCGUAGAUAUAUGGAAGAACACCAGUGGCGAAAGCGGCUCGCUGGGCUGUAACUGACGCUGAGGUUCGAAAGCGUGGGUAGCAAACAGGAUUAGAUACCCGGGUAGUC
rnacentral:rRNA from 1 species